rnacentral:rRNA from 1 species
GAUGAACGCUGGCGGCGUGCCUAAUACAUGCAAGUCGAGCGAACGGACGAGAAGCUUGCUCCUCUGAUGUUAGCGGCGGACGGGUGAGUAACACGUGGAUAACCUACCUAUAAGACUGGGAUAACUUCGGGAAACCGGAGCUAAUACCGGAUGAUAUUUUGAACCGCAUGGUUCAAAAGUGAAAGACGGUCUUGCUGUCACUUAUAGAUGGAUCCGCGCUGCAUUAGCUAGUUGGUAAGGUAACGGCUUACCAAGGCAACGAUGCAUAGCCGACCUGAGAGGGUGAUAGGCCACACUGGAACUGAGACACGGUCCAGACUACUACGAGAGGCAGCAGUAGGGAAUCUUCCGCAAUGGGCGAGAGCCUGACGGAACAACGCCGCGUGAGUGGUGAAGGUCUUCGGAUCGUAAAACUCUGUUAUUAGGGAAGAACAUAUGUGUAAGUAACUGUGCACAGCUUGACGGUACCUAAUCAGAAAGCCACGGCUAACUACGUG